GGGGAAUAACCCCUCGAAAGAGGGGCUAAUACCGCAUACGUUCCCGGAGGGGAGUUCUCCGGGAGGAAAGCCUUCGGGCGCUGGAGGAGGGGCUUGCGGCCUAUCAGGUAGUUGGUGGGGUAACGGCCUACCAAGCCUGCGACGGGUAGCUGGUCUGAGAGGAUGAUCAGUCAGACGGGGACUGAGACACGGCCCCGACUCCUACGGGAGGCAGCAGCGAGGAAUCUUGCGCAAUGGGCGAAAGCCUGACGCAGCAACGCCGCGUGGGGGAAGAAGGCUUUCGAGUCGUAAACCCCUUUUGCAGGGGAAGAAGAUCUGACGGUACCCUGCGAAUAAGCCACGGCUAACUACGUGCCAGCAGCCGCGGUAAUACGUAGGUGGCAAGCGUUGUCCGGAUUUACUGGGCGUGAAGGGCGUGUAGGCGGUCCAUUAAGUUUGGGGUGAAAUCUCCCGGCUCAACCGGGAGCGGCCCCCGGAUACUGAUGGACUAGAGGGGGGUAGAGGAAGGCGGAAUUCCCGGAGUAGCGGUGAAAUGCGUAGAUACCGGGAGGAACACCGGUGGCGAAGGCGGCCUUCUGGGCCUACCCUGACGCUGAGGCGCGAAAGCGUGGGGAGCAAACCGGAUUAGAUACCCGGGUAGUCCACGCCCUAAACGUUGGACACUAGGUGUGGGGGGUAUCGACCCCCUCCGUGCCGCAGCUAACGCUUUAAGUGUCCCGCCUGGGAAGUACGGCCGCA
rnacentral:rRNA from 1 species